rnacentral:rRNA from 1 species
AGCACCCUGAAGGGCCGGAGGAGACGACUCCGUCGAUAGGCCGCCCGUGGACGUGGAGCAAUCCAUUCCGAGCGCAGCGGUCCUAAUCGCCCGUGCGGCUUGACUCC